AUGGGUGAGAAUUUUCUCAAUGGGUCAAUUCCAAAAGGACUUUUUGGUCUUCCAGAGCUAACGCAAGUUGAGCUUCAAGAUAAUCUUUUAUCUGGGAACUUUCCUCAACCUGUUUCUAUGUCUCCGAAUCUUGGUCAAUUUUCAGGUGAAAUCCCUUCUAAGAUUGGAAAGUUACAACAGCUUUCUAAGAUUGAUUUUAGUCAUAACAGAUUCUCCGGUUCCAUUGCGCCUGAGAUAAGUCACCGUAAGCUUCUAACUUUUGUUGAUCUUAGUCGUAACGAGCUUUCCGGUGAGAUUCCUAAUGAAAUUACUAGCACGAGGAUAUUGAAUUACUUGAAUUUGUCAAAGAAUCACCUUGUUG